CUGUUUACCUAAAGGAUCGGGCCUGUUUACCUAAAGGAUCGGGACUGUUUACCUAAAGGAUCGGGACUGUUUACCUAAAGGAUCGGGACUGUUUACCUAAAGGAACGGGCCUGGGUAGUGUUCAGGGGGCACAACAUGAAGAAAACCAGCAUCAACGUGUCCAAUUUUGAAAUGUUUUGCCACGGUGUGCCCUACUGAACACAACCUAGGACUGUGGUAAUAAUAUUUGACUCGUGUCAUGUGACAGGGGAUUGAGGCAGAAAGGGAUAUGGGACUUGUGUCAUGUGACAGGGGAGUGAGGCAGCCAGGGAUAUGGGACUUGUGUCAUGUGACAGGGGAGUGAGGCAGCCAGGGAUAUGGGAUUCGUGUCAUGUGACAGGGGAAUGAGGCAGCCAGGGAUAUGGGACUCGUGUCAUGUGACAGGGGAGUGAGGCAGCCAGGGAUAUGGGACUCGUGUCAUGUGACAGGGGAGUGAGGCAGCCAGGGUUGAUGUGCCCCUGCAUGCCUUUUCUCCAGCUAGGCAUCUCUAGAGUAAAUAAACAAAUGGAGUAGCAGCACAUAUUUCCACGGAAGGUUCUCCUCGUCCUGCUCCGAACACAGGAAGAGAUAAGAGAACCAGGAAAGGGGGGGGUGAGGGGGAGGACAGAACUCAAACGCAGAACUUAAUCAAGCUGAGGGGAAAAGACUUCAUUUAACUCUGUCGUGUCUGAAAUGAAGUCUGAAUUGAGCACAACAAGGCUCUACUUUAACUGAUAUCAAAAUCAACCGCCAUUCUGUCUGGCGUGUGAUGAGCUUACAGCCAAACAGAGUUUUUACAUUUGCUCUGCAUCUUCAUUGGUUAAUCUACCUGCCUGAUCUUUUUCUGAAGUCCAAUGGGAGCCCAGCAUUCUAGGACAACUUCAAAACCCUCCCAUGGGAGGCUAGUGAACAGCUCGUUAAGAUUACUGUGUGGCCCCACAGAUGGACCGUGGGACAGGGGGCGGUGUGUGUGAGUGCGACCCCAGGCUGACUGAACCCUGCCUGGGGAAGAGAGGAGGACGGUAGGGGGUGAUACCUGGAAGUGGCAUGGAGCAUAGCUACAGGCAGGGGGGGCAGGUAAGCUAAUGCUAGCAGGAGAGUAGGGCAGGUAAGCUACUGUCUGCUGGUGGGACAGGGACCUCUGGAUCACAUAGGGGUUAUAGAGGUAGUGCUGGGGGAACACAGGUACAGAUUACACACACGUCACCUACCAAAUACAAAACGCCAAACUAGUAGCUAGUUCCAUGAACGUGUCAGAAACACUGAACAGAUGAAAACAUUUGAUUCUAACAGACACAGAUGUGACAACACAGAUCUCCUGUGGACUAGUAUGAACAGGGGAUGGUAUUAUGAUCCAAUAAUGACACAUGACAGUUAGUGAAGCUAAAGGAAUGGAGAGAGAGAGAGAGAGAGCAGAAAUGAGAUAGACAAGAGAAGGAAGACGAGGUCAUCCUAGGGGAGGACGACGAGUUCAUCCUAGGGGAGGACGACGAGUUCAUCCUAGGGGAGGACGACGAGUUCAUCCUAGGGGAGGACGACGAGUUCAUCCUAGGGGAGGACGACGAGUUCAUCCUAGGGGAGGACGACGAGUUCAUCCUAGGGGAGGACGACGAGUUCAUCCUAGGGGAGGACGAGGUCAUUCUAGGGGAGGACGAGGUCAUUCUAGGGGAGGACGAGGUCAUUCUAGGGGAGGACGAGGUCAUUCUAGGGGAGGACGAGGUCAUUCUAGGGGAGGACGAGGUCAUUCUAGGGGAGGACGAGGUCAUUCUAGGGGAGGACGAGGUCAUUCUAGGGGAGGACGAGGUCAUUCUAGGGGAGGACGAGUUCAUUCUAGGGGAGGACGAGUUCAUUCUAGGGGAGGACGAGUUCAUUCUAGGGGAGGACGAGUUCAUUCUAGGGGAGGACGAGUUCAUUCUAGGGGAGGAUGAUUGAAAGGCUGCUUGUUUCAGAGAGGAAGAAAGAGGAGCUGGUUGAUCAACAUGGAUGGACUGAAGCUGAAUGAGUAAAAGGAGACUGAUGAUGGAUGGAGUGUAGGGACCAAUCUCAAAUCCCCCCUAAACCCUACGCCCUGCACCCUAAACCCUACGCCCUUGUGGAGAACAGAGGAUAUAACAAGCAUAGGUAAUAUGAUGAGAGCUCCACUUGUUCUCUGAUAGGCUAGUUGGAACUUCCACCAAUCAAAUCCUCUCAGAUCUCCACAAG